GUGAACGCUGGCGGUAGGCCUAACACGUGCAAGUCGAACGGCAGCACAGUAAGAGCUUGCUCUUACGGGUGGCGAGUGGCGGACGGGUGAGGAAUACAUCGGAAUCUACUUUUUCGUGGGGGAUAACGUAGGGAAACUUACGCUAAUACCGCAUACGACUUACGGGUGAAAGCCGGGGAUCUUCGGACCUUGCGCGUUUGAAUGAGCCGUGUUCGGAUUAGUUAGUUGGUGGGGUAAAGGCCCACCAAGGCGACGAUCCGUAGCUGGUCUGAGAGGAUGAUCAGCCACACUGGAACAGAGACACGGUCCAGACUCCUACGGGAGGCAGCAGUGGGGAAUAUUGGACAAUGGGCGCAAGCCUGAUCCAGCCAUACCGCAUGGGUGAAAAAGGCCUUCGGGUUGUAAAGCCCUUUUGUUGGGAAAGAAAAGCAGCAGGUUAAUACCCCGCUGUUCUGACGGUACCCAAAGAAUAAGCACCGGCUAACUUCGUG
rnacentral:rRNA from 1 species